rnacentral:rRNA from 1 species
GACGAACGCUGGCGGCGUGCCUAAUACAUGCAAGUAGAACGCUGAAGCUUGGUGCUUGCACCGAGCGGAUGAGUUGCGAACGGGUGAGUAACGCGUAGGUAACCUGCCUGGUAGCGGGGGAUAACUAUUGGAAACGAUAGCUAAUACCGCAUAAAAUGGAUUAUCGCAUGAUAAUCGAUUGAAAGGUGCAAAUGCAUCACUACCAGAUGGACCUGCGUUGUAUUAGCUAGUUGGUGGGGUAACGGCUCACCAAGGCGACGAUACAUAGCCGACCUGAGAGGGUGAUCGGCCACACUGGGACUGAGACACGGCCCAGACUCCUACGGGAGGCAGCAGUAGGGAAUCUUCGGCAAUGGACGGAAGUCUGACCGAGCAACGCCGCGUGAGUGAAGAAGGUUUUCGGAUCGUAAAGCUCUGUUGUAAGAGAAGAACGAGUGUGAGAGUGGAAAGUUCACACUGUGACGGUAUCUUACCAGAAAGGGACGGCUAACUACGUGCCAGCAGCCGCGGUAAUACGUAGGUCCCGAGCGUUGUCCGGAUUUAUUGGGCGUAAAGCGAGCGCAGGCGGUUAGAUAAGUCUGAAGUUAAAGGCUGUGGCUUAACCAUAGUACGCUUUGGAAACUGUUUAACUUGAGUGCAAGAGGGGAGGGUGGAAUUCCAUGUGUAGCGGUGAAAUGCGUAGAUAUAUGGAGGAACACCGGUGGCGAAAGCGGCUCUCUGGCUUGUAACUGACGCUGAGGCUCGAAAGCGUGGGGAGCAAACAGG